rnacentral:rRNA from 1 species
GUGGUCAAGUAACUAAGGGCACAUGGGGGAUGUCUUGGCAUUAGAAGGCGAUGAAGGGCGUGGAAGUCUGCGAAAAGCUUGGGGGAGCUGACAAACGAGUGUUUAUCCCGAGAUACCCGAAUUAGCUCAUACUGAAUACAUAGGUAUGGGUGGCCAACCCAGGGAACUGAAACAUCUAAGUACCUGGAGGAAAAGAAAGAAAAAUCGAUUCCGUAAGUAGCGGCGAGCGAAAGCGGAACAGCCCAAACCGCGGGGGUCUUCCCCUGCGGGGUUGUAGGAUUUCUCACAUGGGAGUUAGAAAAUUCUGGCUAGAGGAAGUGUCCUGGAUACGGCACGCCACAGAGGGUGACAGCCCCGUACUCGAAAGCUUUGAAUCUCCCGAGGAACACCUGAGUAGGUCGGAGCACGUGAAACUCCGACUGAAUCUACGGAGACCAUUCCGUAAGGCUAAAUACUCUCUAAUGACCGAUAGUGAACUAAGUAGCGCGAGUGAAAGGUGAGAAGAACCCCGGCUAGGGGAGGACACUGAACCUGAAACCAUGUGCCUACAAGCGGUCGGAGCACGAUUUAACGUGUGACGGCGUGCCUUUAGCAAAAUGAUCCGGCGAGUUACCGUUUGCGGCCCGGUUAAGCCUCUCAGGGGCGAAGCCAUAGGGAAACCGAGUCUUAAUAGGGCGACAUUGUCGUAGGUGGUAGACGCGAAACCUGGUGAUCUACCCAUGAGCAGGUUGAAGCGCGGGUUAAACUGCGUGGAGGACCGAACCCACUUAGGUUGAAAACUGAGGGGAUGACUUGUGGGGAGGAGUGAAAGUCUAAUCAAACCAGGAGAUAGCUCGUUCUCUCCGAAAUAUAUUGAGGUAUAGCCUCGAGCAACUAUUCGGCGGGGGUAGAGAGACUGAAUUGGAUGGGGGCGGUUUCCACUGUACCCCACUGAACCAAACUCCGAAUACCGUCGAAACUAUCUCGGGAGUCAGUCCAUGGGGGAUAAGCUCCGUGGUCGAGAGGGAAACAACCCAGACCGUCAGCUAAGGUCCCUAAACUAUGCUCAGUCACUAAGGAAGUUGAAUUUCUGAGACAGCCAGGAUGUUGGCUUAGAAGCAGCCACCAUUUAAAAAGUGCGUAACAGCUUACUGGUCGAGAGAUUCUGCGCCGAUAAUGAACGGGAGUAAGCAUAGUACCGAAGCUACGGAUCCUAGCUUGCUAGGAUGGUAGGAGAGCGCUGUAGAGCAGAUACAAGCCAUACCGUGAGGAGUGGUGUCGGGUUCUACAGGUGAUUAUGCCGGAAUGAGUAACGAUAAAACAGGUGAGAAUCCUGUUCGCCGAAAACCUAAGGUUUCCUGGGGAAGGUAAAUCCGCCCAGGGUUAGCCGGUACCUAAGGCGAGGCCGAAAGGCGUAGUCGAUGGAUAGAAGGUUAAUAUUCCUUCGCCAUGUGUGUGGAGCGAUGGAGGGACGGCAUCCGAAAAGCAUGAGGACGACUAGAAAUGUCCUUUGCCUGGCAACGAGAUUGGCAGUAGGUAAAUCCGCUGCAGUAGGAUCAAGUUGCCGGGCUAACAGCACCUAAGAUCUGGAUGAUGUUGGCAGGAUGUCCAAGAAAAACUUCUAAGUUUUGAAGCACACGUGACCGUACUAAAACUGACACAGGUAGGUGAGUCGAGAAGACUAAGGCGCUCGGGAGAACGGUGAUUAAGGAACUCUGCAAAAUGGCCCCGUAAGUUCGCGAUAAGGGGCGCCUACGCAAGUAGGCCACAGAAAAUCGGCUCUAACGACUGUUUAUCAAAAACACAGGACGCUGCUAACACGCAAGUGGAUGUAUAGCGUCUGACGCCUGCCCGGUGCUGGUAGGUUAAGGAAGACGGUUAGCUCUUCGGAGCGAAGCUGGCGACCGAAGCCC